rnacentral:sRNA from 1 species
UCAUUCAUCUUCUGAGGUAACAUCAGAUUGAUCAGCCUCUUCUUCCUCUGGCAAAGGAGAGACAAUUGCGGCACAGCAGAAAGAAUCACGGUCCUUCAGGAGGAGGCAAGUUCCAUCUGAGUUCCAUUUCAAGUCCACAACCCGAAAGUUUGGCAACGGAACGUUGACGCAGCAUGCACCAGAUGGUGUCCACAUGUACAGGUGCGGACUCUCCGUGCAGAAAACAAGGCGUGGGCAAUUAGGGUCCCAAGCGGCAGCACGGAUUGGAUCUUUCUGAACAAGAACAGCAGCAAGAUCAAGGCGGCAGAUAUCCCAUAUCCAAAGAGCAGUUGGCAUAUUGUCAUUCCGAGUGAAGAAAUAGUGACUGUCGCUGCUCCAUGACAGCAUACCAAUUCCCUGCUUGGGGUUGGGCUUGUCUGUAACGGGUUUCUGUGAAGGCAAAGUGAUUGGAGCAUCCAUCACAGCAUACUUAACUCGAGAACCUCCCUCUUAAUCUCACCAGCACCAUUGCCUUGCAUGUUACGGGAGAAUCCUUCACUUAGGCAUAACUCUGACAUGUCAAGCUGCCAUGGAUCAUCCACUUCCUGCUUACCUUAAAUAUAGCAGCAUUAGUAGGAUUUCGAAUAGAUGCUGCGUGUGAGAACUCAGCAAAAGUUUUCCAUGUCAGGUGGUUCAAAGUCCGAACUGCUUGAUCAUAGCUGCCAACUGCUAAAAACUGUCCACAUGGUGACCACGCAACAGUUUUCACACCUAAUCCACUUUCAUAUGCUAAGUAC